rnacentral:rRNA from 1 species
GGGUCAGUAGGUUGGUCGUGCCACCGGUACGUACUGGUCUCACUGAUUCCUCCUUCCUGAAGAACCGUAAUGCCAUUAAUUUGGUGUUGCGGGGAAACAGGACUGUUACUUUGAAAAAAUUAGAGUGUUUAAAGCAAGCUAAAGCUUGAAUACAUUAGCAUGGGAUAAUGAAAUAGGACGAUCGAUCCUAUUUUGUUGGUUUCUAGGAUUGACGUA